AACAGCUCCCUCUCUUUCAAUUCCUGUUUUAAUAAAUAUUUGCAGAGAAGAUUAGCAUGGCCCCUGUGCGAGGAUGACAUGCAAAUUCAUGAGGUGUUCCAUAUUUUU